UUAACACCCAUGAAGAAUGAAGUCUUCUUCCACAAGACCAAUUUAGCACAGGCAGUAGCAGUGGGAGCUCCCCCACCCCCACACAUAACCUUUGUCCCACCAAUGUCUGAAAUCUGAGCUGGAAGGAGCCAUUCAGCUCACCCACACUUAUCCUUGGCUUUU
rnacentral:sRNA from 1 species